AAGUCGUAACAAGGUUUCCGUAGGUGAACCUGCGGAAGGAUCAUUAACACGUUAUCCAACGUAUCAACCAAAGAGAACUGUUUUUAUCUCCCGGAGGCAAAGAAUGAGUGGAAUUCGAAGAGGUGUUGAAAGGGAUUGCUUCGGCGUCAGCCUCUCUCUUAUUAUUUAAGCAAAUCGAAAGAUUUGCUUAGACACUGUAUUUUUGCUGAAGGCAACUGUCUGCGCAGGGCCCUCCUUUCAUUGAGUUCUGUUGCAGCAAACUUUUUCACUAAUUUAACCCAAUUUUUGCUAGUUGACUUUAAUAUGUUGUUCUUUACGCUUGCGUAAGGUUCACACGUUUAAUUAAUUGAACGUUAAAAAUACAACUCUUAGCAAUGGAUAUCUUGGUUCUC
rnacentral:misc_RNA from 1 species